ensembl:lncRNA
CUUCUUCCUUCGCUCCUCAAAGGGCUGCGGUAGAGAACAUGAAUUAUGGUGUAACCUGUGGCUGGCAACAGCAUGUCAGAAGUGGGCACCUCCCUAGGGACAGGAGAGAAAUCACAGCCUAACUUCUUCCUGCCUGCUGCAGCCAGAGGUGUGUUAUGGUGGAUGCUUUACAAUAGGCAGAACUGAGUUUUUGCUUCUUGCAAUCAAGAGGAACAAGGAUUUUGUUCUUCCGUUGAUACCUGCUGGAAUUCACCACUCUAUGCUGAAUCAGUUCCUCCAGGUACUCUGGAAAACCCUACUUUCCAUAUGAAUCUAUGUAUGUAAGACACUCCUCUGGUUUUUCUCUGACACUGCAACCUGGAGACAAGUCAUUUCUCUAAUGAAGCCAUGCAAAUAUCAUGUGUUCCUCCGUGGAAAGAAGUGGAGAAGGCCAGGAGCAACAGGACACAGAGCAAACUUAAGUUACAAAGUCCUAACCGGAAGCAAGCAGAGAUGCUGGAGCUGUCCUGGAGAAAGAUAGAGUCACAGAAUCAUAGAACCACCAAGGCUGGAAAAGAUCUCCAAGGUCCAACCCAGUCCAACCUCAACUCACCCCCACCACGCCCACUGACCAUGACCCCUCAGUGUCACACCUCCACAUUUCUUG